UGUGCCCCUGCGAAGUUGGUGGUGAUUGUGGUGGUGGAGCUAAUGACAUGUGUGCAGAAACUCUUCUGAAUGGGACUUCCCUGAUCCUGUUUUUACCUGAUCUUCAUGCUCAAUAGAAAAAGCCUCAGCUUUGGAAUCAGCUUCCCAGUGAACACCGAGAGUUGAGUUUAGCAACUGUUUGGACUGGCCAUGUAACAGGGCCGUCCAGGUAGCAUGGCAUGGUACUGGAACACUAUGUCUUCUCUCUGACCUCUCGGAAUAUCUCUGUGAUUCAAUGUGUUGGCCCAUUGGAGGCCCUGGACUGGUUAAAACCUGGAGGUUUGAGAAACCCCUGAUCUUCUCCAUACUCUUCACAAGGGCAAUGGCUGGCCAAGAUUACAAAUUAGUGACUGUUGAGGCUGGAAUCUGUACCGAGGUCAUGGGAACCCCCUGCACUGCCCCUUCUAAUCACCCUCCUGCUUGGACCCUGGGAGUAUGACAAAGAGUCAGAUAAGACAACUGAGGCUGAAGAUCACACAACCAGUAAAUGGAACAGCCAGAAAUCAAAUGUUAUAUAUUGGCCCUGAAGUGGGGAUAAAGCAGCUAAAAGAAAGUGUACUUUACAUUAAAUUUUAAGAUUUAUGAGACAGGCAGAAAAAUCACAAAAAGGAAAAAAAGUCAGUUUGAAGUGUGAAAUCAAGUGAAUGAAGUAAGACAGAAGCAAUAAUCUCUACAACAAAAGAUGAGAACUUGCCUCCUCUAAAUCCCAUACACACAUGGCUAUUUGUUCCAAGCUUAUGUGGAUCAUCGCUAAUUUACAAACAGUGGGUGAUGUGCUAUAAAGAAAAUGACUCAUUGGCCCAUCUGUAAUUUAAAUAUGUGACAAAAUGUUUAAAUGUUUCAAACAAUGGUUAAUUAUUAGAGACUUAACAGUUUGAAAACAAGUGUGGAGCUUUUUUUUUUUUUUUUCUGUUUUUUUGGCUUCAUUUUGAACCAGCCCAAAUGGACAUCAGGUGUUUGACUCUUCCUGAGAUGCAGUACAUAAUCUUUAAUUGGACACCUUGUUGGAAAAUAAGGAGGAAAGUAUCCAUUUUUUUUUUUUAGAAUAGCCUGGCCAACAUUUAUGUACUGAAUGCUAAUAUGUAUAAUUGAAAAAAUAAAAAAUUCUAGGUCUUACUUAAGAUUUUCAUCUACCAUGAGAAGUCUUUCAUUCAUUUUCUUAGCACAAAGACAGCCCCACUCUCUAUACAUGAAUAUGUAAAAAUAAAACUUCAAAUUACUUUCA
rnacentral:lncRNA from 1 species